rnacentral:rRNA from 1 species
GUAAUACGUGAGUAACCUGCCCUUGACUCUGGGAUAAGCCUGGGAAACUGGGUCUAAUACUGGAUACGACAUGUCACCGCAUGGUGGUGUGUGGAAAGGGUUUUACUGGUUUUGGAUGGGCUCACGGCCUAUCAGCUUGUUGGUGGGGUAAUGGCUCACCAAGGCGACGACGGGUAGCCGGCCUGAGAGGGUGACCGGCCACACUGGGACUGAGACACGGCCCAGACUCCUACGGGAGGCAGCAGUGGGGAAUAUUGCACAAUGGGCGGAAGCCUGAUGCAGCGACGCCGCGUGAGGGAUGACGGCCUUCGGGUUGUAAACCUCUUUCAGCACGGAAGAAGCGAAAGUGACGGUACGUGCAGAAGAAGCGCCGGCUAACUACGUGCCAGC